rfam:Schistosoma curassoni strain Dakar, Senegal genome assembly, scaffold: SCTD_scaffold0013041
AUCCAGCUGACAAGUCUCAAAUAGGAUGAAAUACGCGUCCUGGAC